UAGGAUGUGGUCAUAUCUUUUGAGAAGCAGCCACUCAAUCUACUACAGGAAGCAUAUUCCAUGACCAGUGGGUUAAAUGGUUCCUUAAAGAUCUACUAGAAAAUAGUAUGUUAAUAAAGCCACCUUGGGAGAUCAGUGGCUUUCUCCCCAUUCUACAGAUGAUGCUACGAAGGCUCGGAGAAGUGAACAGACUUUCCUGAUACCACACAGCCAUCUGAUGCUGAGCAGGGACUGGAACUGCGAUCUCCUCUCCCUACUACACCCUGAGUGCCCAGACCUCUCCAGGGCUUGUUGCUUGGUGACCAGCUCAACUCUCAACCCCUAGUCUACAGAGUUACAUAAAUGUGGCCAGGAUCUGACUGUCCAAUAAAUUACAAAAUUACUCUCUGCUUAUGGAAAACCUUCACUAAAGGCAGUGUUCCUACAUAUGGCCGGAUAUCUUUUCCCCUCCAUGUGUCCUUCCCGGUGCAGAGAGCUCUAUUGGAAAUCAGUGGGGGUCUGUGCACAUAAAGAGCCGGGGAUGAGAGGCAGGAUGGGAAUCUAUUCCAUGAAGUGAAGACGUAACGUCCUAACAAUUAAGAAAAAACUCGAGGUCGUUUCCUCAGCUGAUCAUCACCGGCAGAGCCAACUUCGGAUUAAACACUUCUGCUCAGUGGUUUUGACAUUCUCAGUCAGGCAUAUCUUGAUGAAAUUAGAGAUGCAGAAAAUAUCUUUUGAUGGAGUACAGAGACAAACAGCUAGAAGGGAAGCCAAUUUUGUGCUCAAACUUGUGCA